rnacentral:rRNA from 1 species
ACUCAAAUGAAUUGACGGGGACCCGCACAAGCGGUGGAGCAUGUGGAUUAAUUCGAUACUAACCGAAGAACCUUACCCAGGUUUGACAUCGAUGGCAAACCGGUGAAAGCCGGUCCCCUCCCACAAGGAGGCCUGAAGACAGAUGUUGCAUGGCUGUCGUCAGCUCGUGCCGUGAGGUGUACGGUUAAGUCCGCCAACGAGCGCAACCCUCGUCCUAUGUUGCCAACGGGUAACGCUGGGAACUCAUAGGAGACCGCCGGUGUAAGCCGGAGGAAGGUGGGGAUGACGUCAAGUCAGCAUGGCUCUUACGCCUGGGGCUUCACACAUGCUACAAUGGGCAAAACAAAGGGCACCGAAACCGAGAGGUUGAGGCAAUCCCAAAAAUAUGCCCUCAGUUCAGAUUGUAGUCUGCAACUCGACUACAUGAAGGUGGAAUCGCUAGUAAACGCAGGUCAGCUAUACUGCGUUGAAUACGUUCCCGGGUCUUGCACACACCGCCCGU